rfam:Lactobacillus floricola DSM 23037 = JCM 16512 strain DSM 23037 NODE_53, whole genome shotgun sequence.
UUGACGUAGGCUUUUAUUAGGUCAACUUGAUAAAAACUUGCGAAAAAAUCCCACUAACGUAACGCCUUGCUGUGUCAAUCACCGAGGCGGUACGUUUUUUU